AGCCCACCUCCCACCCGUGUUUACUGUACCUUAGUUGCUUCGGCGGGCCCGCCAUUCAUGGCCGCCGGGGGCUCUCAGCCCCGGGCCCGCGCCCGCCGGAGACACCACGAACUCUGUCUGAUCUAGUGAAGUCUGAGUUGAUUGUAUCGCAAUCAGUUAAAACUUUCAACAAUGGAUCUCUUGGUUCCGGCAUCGAUGAAGAACGCAGCGAAAUGCGAUAACUAGUGUGAAUUGCAGAAUUCCGUGAAUCAUCGAGUCUUUGAACGCACAUUGCGCCCCCUGGUAUUCCGGGGGGCAUGCCUGUCCGAGCGUCAUUGCUGCCCAUCAAGCACGGCUUGUGUGUUGGGUCGUCGUCCCCUCUCCGGGGGGGACGGGCCCCAAAGGCAGCGGCGGCACCGCGUCCGAUCCUCGAGCGUAUGGGGCUUUGUCACCCGCUCUGUAGGCCCGGCCGGCGCUUGCCGAACGCAAAUCAAUCUUUUUCCAGGUUGACCUCGGAUCAGGUAGGGAUACCCGCUGAACUUAAGCAUAUCAAUAAGCGGAGAAA
rnacentral:rRNA from 1 species